GCCACACAGUUGGAAGGAGAUCCUGGCAGAAACGGAGCACAUAUGGCUGUCAAAAACAACCCAAAUGUUCCCUGCACAGAAUGGACCGGACAGUAAGAAUUCUGUAGUAGAAUGGCUGAUCUUCUGAUAAAGGAGGGGCCUUUGCAGUUAACCCCAGAGAAUGUAUCAACUGGCACUUGCUGUGCUAUUCACUGUGAGCUGCCUGCUUCUGUGCCCGGGAGGCAGCCUCACAGCCAUUUCAGACAUGAGGAUAUGCUAGAAGAACGCUGACGGUAAAAACAUAAUCUCUCGUUUUACUAUUUUUUUUUUUUUCAUUAGUAGUGUAGGACUGUGAUGAGACUGUGAUGGCUAGUACUCUAUUAGUGGGAGGCCUGAUAAUGAUUUUUUCCUAUGAUUCAGCAAACUGGACAAACAUAGGAAAAUGUGGUCAAUGGUUGAAGGUUAACACAAAAGUUGAUUCCAGAGCCAAUGUAACAAUUUUAGUCAGGUCCGGAGAUUUAUAGUAAACACUUAGUAGUUGCCAGGUCAGUGUGAGGAGGCAUUGUGUGCAUGUGUGGGGGGGGUUGUAUUUGGCUAGAGUUAAGAAUAACUGACUAUGCAAUGAACACAAGUCUGCUAAAAUGACCUUGGUGAGACAACUGCUUUCUAGUCCUCUCAUGAUGGUAUUGUAUUAACAAAACAAACACAACUGAUUUACAAAUAAAAGCAAAAAAAAAAAAAAAACCUAACUUGUUACCUUAUUUUUUGAAACCAGGUAAAAACAAUAAACAACAAUAACAGAAAAUAACUCUCCUUGGGGAAGCAUGAACUGUAGUGGAUAUUAUGGAAUCCAAGUAUCACAAGGGGAUCUAGCUCAUGUGGUGAAAUAAUACAGCUAAAAGAAAUGAAACAAGAAGGACAUUCAGAGAAUUUCAGGAUAUAUUAUUUUUGAUGGAGGCUCAGGAGUCUGAUCAGCUUGGAGCUGAACCUUCUCUCCGUCAGUACGGACACUCACCCUCACAGCAGCUGCUACUCUGGGCUAUGCUGCCUGGGCUCAACAGACAAGGUGAAGGCCAUACUGCACUUCACUCGGCUGAUACCCCCCAAGCCAGGAGUGGAAGCUGGUGUCCUGCUGUUGACCUAUGCUGUGUUUGCCCUUGGGCUAAUCAGAAUAUUUGUGUCUCUUGAGAUGUCCGGCUUGCAUCUUCCAAGACCAUUGUUUCAUUAGAAAUGUUCUACAGGAAAAGGCUGUCAGUUUUUCUUUCUACUGUGCUACAUGGCUAAAACGGCUAAAAAGGCUUCAACAAGACUUUUUAGUAAUCAGUUUGGUAAGAGUGAACCAUUUAGUACUAAGUAUUUAUAAAAUGAAAGUCUUUGCCCUUGGUGCUAAGAAACCUUUGAGUAACAAUCCCGUACCACUUUACCACUUUAGAAAAUAAGAUUUUAAAGCAAUACAAGGCCACUGCAAAAAAUGGUAGAAAAUGAAAUUUUACUUUGAAGUAAAAACUUUGAUAUCUGUACACAGUUGUUUCAUAAUGUACAUUUUCCAAGAAACUUUUGAAGCUCCUUCUCAUACAAU
ensembl:lncRNA